ACGAGGGAUAAAAGGAGUUCGGGAAACUUCACGAGUGGCAAGCGCUCAUCUCUUCUCUUGGAGCCAUUUGUCAUUACCUCGUUCUCUCUCGAUCGCCGAACACUAUUUUCACUUCCCUUGCACAUUAACCGCAACACACGUCGGAACAACAUCACACCCAGUCGUUAUGCGUUGCAUUUCUCUCUCACUCUUUCACACCGACUCCACCAGUCAUUGUGCACCGCUCGCCUCGCCAGACUUGGUCGCUACUCCAGUUGCGGUUUUGAUCUGUCGUUCUGUCCAAGUUCUUCAAAUUUUGUUGCCAGUCCAGCUACUCUAACACCCAGUCACCAUUCGUCACUAUUUUGGAGCUGUAUCGCCAUUAGCCUUGCUCUUUUUUGACCAUUUCACCUCAAAUUUUAGAUUAGGAAUUUGAGUUUUAGAAGAGUUUGAGAUGCUGCCCAGCCACUCAAAAGCUCGAAUUUAGGCGUUUCGGCACCACUUGGGUAAGGUUCAAAGUUUUGGGGUUGACCUUGAGUACCCAUCUAAUCCUCGUGAUAGUAUUGGUGUAAUCUGGGAUGGUGUAUGCUUGUUUGUGAAUUUAGAAAGUGGUUAGGAUGUUUUCCAUUGAAGUUAAAGUUACUUUGCUAAGUUCUUGUUGAGGGUCAGAGUGAUUUAAGUGUGUUUUCUUCAAGUUCACAAGUGGCUAUUGAGUCUAAGUGUUAAGAUUAAAUUACCCAUAGUACUCGGGUUCUAAAGAUAAAUGUUAGAGGUUGAAAUUGAGUUUUUCUUUAACUUGGAGUAUGCUUGGGUGUUUACUUCUAUGAAGUUCGAAUUAUAAAAUGAAUUUUGGUGAUUUUAGGAAGUGUUUGAGUUGUUUGACUCAUAGUAAUAUAUUGAGUAUAAAUCCCAAGCAUCAUCAAUAAUGGAGGUAAAAGUGUAUCUAUAUAAAAGAAUCGUUGAGUUUUGAACUAAGUUAGGUUUGAGUUAAGUAUCUAGAUUUCGAGCCCAAGGGUUCGUAUGUGGAAAGUUUAGUCUAAUCCUAAGCGCUUUGUAAAUUCAAAGACCUUAGAAGCAUCAAAUAUAUUUUGGUGACCUUGUGAAGUAUUUUACAUAUAGUUGUAGCAUCAUGUCUUAUGAAGAUAACUAAGAGACCUUGAUCGUUGUUUCAAGCCAAUUUAUUGUGGGGAAAGCGUAUAACCUCGGGGGAUUGAGUUAUUGAUUGUGAGUGGCUCAUUUUUAAGUUUUCUUUGAAUUUGUACAUGUCAUUUUAUGAUAUCACUUGAAAACUACCAUGACUUAAACUUUUUAUGACUAUGUGUUUCAUUUAUACUUAAGCAAUGUGUUUACACUCAUCAAAAUUUUAAGAAUGUGUAUGGCUUGAACUUUAUAAAAACGUGAUAUAAAGUUUCUGAUUGUACUUGUUUUUUUUAAAUAUGAUUGAUCGAUAUGUUUAUGAUGAACGAGAAGGUGAUUUCCCUGAGGCUAUGUGAAUGUCUUUUCCAUAGCACCACCUACGUUGUUAGGGGGUUCCGAAGCAAAAAGAGGUUGUGAUCGGAGAUCCAAGAACCUGAGCCUUGAUGUGGAUAUGGAUGGAGGAUUGAGAUAUGGCUUCAAGCCUAAUUUAACACUAUGAGCGAAUGUGUAGAUUGUUACUGUGGUGGGUACUAAGUAUGGAUGAGCUCAGUUUGGCAGCGUGUGUUCUUGUGGAUAUGAAUCACGUGUGAGCUAUUCUCGAUCGUUAUUAAUAAAGUGUUAUUAUUGUAAUUUCAGUAAAUGUUAUUGAUUAUAUUUUUA